rnacentral:lncRNA from 1 species
AAGGCCCUGUUUGGCAUGGCUCCAACUCCGAGUAGAGCUGCUCCACUCCAGAACUCUAGGUGGAGCCAGCUCCACUCUAGAACUCCAGAACAAACCAGAACAAAAAUGGGGUGUUUGGCUAGAUGGGUACUCUCAACUCCAAAAAAGAUCGAUUUCAGUGUGGAUUGCCAUUGUUGCCCCUAAUUCAGGCCCCACUUGUCAUCCUCUCUAUCACAUCUUCUUCUCCUGCCACGUUCUGCUCGGUGAUGUCCACGUUCUGCCGGGGAUGCAACAGGGCUGGGCGGUGAUGGGGUCGGCCGGCGGGGCUUGGGCGGCAGGGCUGGGUGGC